UAAUAAGUGUUUUAUGGCACUUUUUAAAUCCAUAUCCACCUUGUGUGCAAUGUCAGUCGAUCUUCUUCAUGGAGAUCGACCAAACAUCAACCUUUAUUUUUUAACUCUUUGCCUGAAAAAUAUUAUGAAUAAACAAUUCAAAAUA
rnacentral:misc_RNA from 1 species